rnacentral:siRNA from 1 species
AGGGUGUGGUUCGUAUGCAGUCCA